rnacentral:rRNA from 1 species
UACAGAGGUCUCAAGCGUUGUUCGGAUUCAUUGGGCGUAAAGGGUGCGUAGGUGGCGGGGUAAGUCAGGUGUGAAAUCUCGGGGCUCAACCCCGAAACUGCAUUUGAUACUGCCUUGCUCGAGUACUGGAGAGGAGAUUGGAAUUUACGGUGUAGCAGUGAAAUGCGUAGAUAUCGUAAGGAAGACCAGUGGCGAAGGCGAAUCUCUGGACAGUCACUGACACUGAGGCACGAAGGCCAGGGGAGCAAACGGG